rnacentral:rRNA from 1 species
UACGGGGGGAGCAAGCGUUGUUCGGAUUUACUGGGCGUAAAGGGCGCGUAGGCGGCCAGCACAAGUCAGUUGUGAAAUCUCCGGGCUUAACUCGGAAAGGUCAACUGAUACUGUGCGGCUAGAGUGCAGAAGGGGCAACUGGAAUUCUCGGUGUAGCGGUGAAAUUCGUAGAUAUUGGGAAGAACACCGGUGGCGAAGGCGGCUCUCUGGACCGAGACUGACGCUGAGGCGCGAAAGCGUGGGGAGCAAACAGG